ensembl:lncRNA
AUGAAAGUAUGUAGAUCAAAAAGUUCCAUCAGAGAAACAACCUUUCAAGGGGGAGAAAGACGCAAGCAAGUUGCGGCCAGAGGCGGACAGAGAUCACAUUAUGUCAGCAGAGAUGAAAAAAGUGAAUCUGAUGAAGAAGGUAUUUUUACAGUGUACAGUUUGAAGGAGACAGAGAUUCCUAAGGUUGCUCCUCUGACUAUCACAUUGGCUGUAAAUGAUUCAAACAUACCUUUUGAAGUGGAUACGGGCUGUGGCGUGACUGUAAUGAAUGGGUCAAAUUUCUCCAAAUUAUGGGAAGAACAUAAAAAUCCAGAAUUAAAGACCUGUUUUUUGAAGUUAAAAACUUAUACUGGCCAAGCCUUACCAGUGUUGGGUUCUGCGCAAGUGGUCGUCAGACACAAGGGAACAGUUAAGGAAUUGCCAGUAGUGGUAGUGCCUGGAACAGAACCUAAUUUAUUGGGCAGAGGGUGGAUCAAGGAACUGGGCAUGAAAUGGGAGGCCAUACACAAGUUUCAAGGGGUUGAAAAUUUAACCUUACCUGACGUACUUAGCAAACAUACAGAAUUGUUCAAAGAGGAAUUGGGUGAAUUGAAAGGUCAACCAGCAAAGAUUUAUGUGGACAAAGAAGCCAUCCCCAGAUUUUUCAAAGCCAGACCAGUUCCUAAUGCAGUGAAAGCGAAGGUAGAAGUUGAAAUAGAAUGCCUGUUAAGAGAAAACAUCAUAGAACCUGUUAAACAUUCUGAAUGGGCUGCACCUGUAGUGCCAGUUUUAAAGCCUGAUAAUACAGUACGACUGUGUGGUGAUUACAAGCUAACAGUAAAUCGAGUUUCAAAGUUGGAACAGUACCCCAUUCCUCGAUUAGAUGAUCUGUUUGCAACAUUGUCAGGAGGGCAGAAGUUCACCAAACUGGAUAUGAGUUACGCUUACCAUCAGAUUGCAUUAGAUGCAGAGUCCAAGAAAUAUGUCACAGUGAAUACCCGUAAGGGACUGUUGACUUCCAUAUUUUAUCCCUUAGGAGUUUCUUCUAGUUCUGCUAUCUUCCAAAGCACCAUUGAGGGAGUACUGCAAGGUAUUCCUUAUGUGGCAGUUUUCCUGGAUGACAUCUUGGUGACCGGUCGCAAUGAUGGCGAGCAUCUCCAAAUGCUGGCUAGGGUAUUGGAAAGGUUGCAGGAAGCAGGACUGCGUUUGAAACGGAGUAAAUGUACUUUCAUGGAAAAAGAGGUAAUGUUCUUGGGUCAUAAAGUAGAUGAGACUGGCCUACACCCAGUACCCGAAAAAGUGACCUCGCCAAAGUACCACGCCAAAGACUGUGACUGA